UACGGGGGGGGCAAGCGUUGUUCGGAAUUACUGGGCGUAAAGGGUUCGUAGGUGGCCAACUUAGUCAGACGUGAAAUCCCUCAGCUCAACUGGGGAACUGCGUCUGAUACUGGAUGGCUCGAGUGCAGGAGAGGAACGCGGAAUUCCAGGUGUAGCGGUGAAAUGCGUAGAUAUCUGGAGGAACACCGGUGGCGAAGGCGGCGUUCUGGACUGCAACUGACACUGAGGAACGAAAGCCAGGGGAGCAAACGGG
rnacentral:rRNA from 1 species